rnacentral:rRNA from 1 species
UACGUAGGGUGCAAGCGUUGUCCGGAAUUAUUGGGCGUAAAGAGCUUGUAGGCGGUUUGUCGCGUCUGCUGUGAAAUUUCGGGGCUCAACCCCGAACUUGCAGUGGGUACGGGCAGACUAGAGUGUGGUAGGGGAGACUGGAAUUCCCGGUGUAGCAGUGAAAUGCGUAGAGAUCGGGAGGAACAUCAGUUGCGAAGGCGGCUCUCUGGACCAGCACUGACACUGAGGCACGAAAGCGUGGGGAGCAAACGGG